GUACUCUGUAUGGGCAGACAGCUGAAGUCUUCUGAUGUGGUUUGGUGUUAGUCAGUAUAGAUUGAAGCUUUCUGAAAUUACCUAAUACAUGAGCGCUGCUACUCACAGAUGUGGUCAGACUGGAACUGAACAGUGUUAUUCCAAAUGGAGCUGAAAAGUAAAGGAAAAUCAAGGGGCAUUUGUUCCUGUGAAAGGGCAGAAAUACUGGAGGCAGCCGGGAAAACAGUUGUGCAGCUUGGAAACACAGAAUUCUAACAUAUGGAAAACUAUCAAUAUGUAAUAUCUUUAUUUCAUGAAUGGUGGAUGUAACGUGGCACAUAAGGUGACAUACAUUUCUACCUAUCUAUCUGUCUAAAAGGUGGCUAAGUCAAAGAUAAUUAGCAGAGACACUCUUGUAGUCAGUGGAUAAAACCAGGCUUUGCCAGAAGGCAAUUUCUCUCAGGCUGAGAUUGGUCAAAUGAAUUGCUCUUUGAAGUUGCCUUUUGAUUGUGGAUUGACCAUGGCAGUUGACACCUAGGCAACUAACUUUCCAACAUCUAUAAUUACAUCAUUUAAAUCCUAUUGCUUUUACUUUCACAUGGUUUGUCACAGUUGGGCUCAUCUGUAGUUGAUUUCCUAAAUGGUAGGAGAUGAGAAUGGAUUUGAGAGGAAGGCAGUUGCCAUUUGUGUAUUUUCAGAAGCAAGCUCAAAUUUGAAUAUGCCUUCCUAGGAAUUCUUUGAGUUAGGCCAAGGCAGCAGCAGAAUCUCACACAGAUCACAAAGUUUCUCUUUUCCCCAGUACCCACUUCAGAUUUGCAAAGCUAGAUGGAAAAAUUGAGAAAGCCACAGAAAAGAUCUUAUCCAUUGGAUUCAUUUUGAUUCAAGCCUCACAGAAAAAAAUCAUAGGCUGUUAUAAUCUGCAUUUUAUUGGGAAGAGUGACAACUGCAAAUAUUGCUGUGAGCUAUUACCCUGAGUUCCACACAGGCAGCAUUUACCUUAGCAAUUUCAUCAUUUGCAGUGAGAAACACUGGCCUCAACACAAGCAUGAAUAGAUGGUUUCUAAAUGACUAACUUGCUACCAGGACAGAGCAAUGGGAUAUUGAUCUACCUUUCAGAGUUGAUGAUAUGGCAGUUAAGAGUUGCACACUUUUGCUUUGGA